GACGAACGCUGGCGGCGUGCUUAACACAUGCAAGUCGAACGAAGUGGCGAACGGGUGAGUAACGCGUAAUCAACCUGCCCUUCAGAGGGGGACCACAGUUGGAAACGACUGCUAAUACCGCAUACUGAAGGAGGGGAUUGCGUCUGAUUAGCUAGGUGGAGGGGUAACGGCCCACCAAGGCGAUGAUCAGUAGCCGGUGUGGGAGGAAGAACGGGCACAUUGGGACUGGAGCACGGCCCAGACUUCUAAGGGAGGCAGCAGUGGGGAAACUUGCGAAAUGGAGGGAAGUCUGACGGAGCAACGCCGCUGGGGAGGUGGCGGCCUUCUGGUUGUAAAACUCUGUUAAUCGGGAAGCGGUACCGGCAGAGGAAGCCACGGCUAACUACGUGCCAGCAGCCGCGGUAAUUC
rnacentral:rRNA from 1 species